rnacentral:rRNA from 1 species
AUUGAACGCUGGCGGCAGGCCUAACACAUGCAAGUCGAGCGGAUGAAGGGAGCUUGCUCCUGGAUUCAGCGGCGGACGGGUGAGUAAUGCCUAGGAAUCUGCCUGGUAGUGGGGGAUAACGUCCGGAAACGGGCGCUAAUACCGCAUACGUCCUGCGGGAGAAAGUGGGGGAUCUUCGGACCUCACGCUAUCAGAUGAGCCUAGGUCGGAUUAGCUAGUUGGUGGGGUAAAGGCCUACCAAGGCGACGAUCCGUAACUGGUCUGAGAGGAUGAUCAGUCACACUGGAACUGAGACACGGUCCAGACUCCUACGGGAGGCAGCAGUGGGGAAUAUUGGACAAUGGGCGAAAGCCUGAUCCAGCCAUGCCGCGUGUGUGAAGAAGGUCUUCGGAUUGGAAAGCACUUUAAGUUGGGAGGAAGGGCAGUAAGUUAAUACCUUGCUGGUUUGACGUUACCAACAGAAUAAGCACCGGCUAACUUCGUG